rnacentral:rRNA from 1 species
AUUGAACGCUGGCGGCAUGCCUAACACAUGCAAGUCGAGCGGAGCGGCUGACGGGUGCGUAAUGCCUAGGAAUCUGCCUGGUAGUGGGGGAUAACGUCCGGAAACGGGCGCUAAUACCGCAUACUCUCAGUUGAGCCUCGGUCGGAUUAGCUAGUGGGUGGGGUAAAGGCCUACCAAGGCGACGAUCCCUAGCUGUGCUGAGAGGAUGAACAGCCACACUGGAACUGAGACACGGUCCAGACUCCUACGGGAGGCAGCAGUGGGGAAUAUUGCACAAUGGGCGAAAGCCUGAUACAGCCAUGCCGCGUGUGUGAAGAAGGCCUUCGGGUUGUAAAGCACUUUCAGCGGGGAGGCGUUACCCGCAGAAGAAGCACCGGCUAACUCCGUGCCAGCAGCCGCGGUAAUUC